rnacentral:rRNA from 1 species
UGGGGAAUCUUGGACAAUGGGCGGAAGCCUGAUCCAGCCAUGCCGCGUGAGUGAAGAAGGCCCUAGGGUCGUAAAGCCCUUUCACCGGGGAAGAUGAUGACAUUACCCGGAGAAGAAGCGCCGGCUAACUCCGUGCCAGCAGCCGCGGUAAGACGGAGGGCGCUAGCGUUGUUCGGAAUCACUGGGCGUAAAGGGCGCGUAGGCGGCUGUUUAAGUCGAGGGUGAAAGCCCGGGGCUCAACCCCGGAACGGCCUUCGAGACUGGGCAGCUCGAGACCGGAAGAGGAGGGUGAAAAACCCAGUGUAGAGGUGAAAUUCGUAGAUAUUGGGUGGAACACCAGUGGCGAAAGCGGCUCUCUGGUCCGGAUCUGACGCUGGGGCGCGAAAGCGUGGGGAGCAAACAGGAUUAGAUACCCGUGUAGUCC